rnacentral:rRNA from 1 species
AGAGCGAACGCUGGCGGCAGGCCUAAUACAUGCAAGUCGAACGGAUCCUUCGGGAUUAGUGGCGGACGGGUGAGUAACACGUGGGAACGUGCCCUUUGGUUCGGAACAACUCAGGGAAACUUGAGCUAAUACCGAAUGUGCCCUUCGGGGAAAGAUUUAUCGCCAUUGGAGCGGCCCGCGUCUGAUUAGCUAGUUGGUGGGGUAAAGGCCCACCAAGGCGACGAUCAGUAGCUGGUCUGAGAGGAUGAUCAGCCACACUGGGACUGAGACACGGCCCAGACUCCUACGGGAGGCAGCAGUAGGGAAUCUUGCGCAAUGGGCGAAAGCCUGACGCAGCCAUGCCGCGUGAAUGAUGAAGGUCUUAGGAUUGUAAAAUUCUUUCAGCGGGGACGAUAAUGACGGUACCGCAGAAGAAGCCCCGGCUAACUUCGUGCCAGCAGCCGC